GCGACCGUGGUCUAGUGGCAUGAUGGAACCUUCCCAAGGUUUUGACCCGGGUUCGAUUCCCGGCGGUCGCA